GAUGAACGCUGGCGGCGUGCCUAAUACAUGCAAGUCGAGCGAACAGACGAGGAGCUUGCUCCUCUGACGUUAGCGGCGGACGGGUGAGUAACACGUGGAUAACCUACCUAUAAGACUGGGAUAACUUCGGGAAACCGGAGCUAAUACCGGAUAAUAUAUUGAACCGCAUGGUUCAAUAGUGAAAGACGGUUUUGCUGUCACUUAUAGAUGGAUCCGCGCCGCAUUAGCUGGUUGGUAAGGUAACGGCUUACCAAGGCAACGAUGCGUAGCCGACCUGAGAGGGUGAUCGGCCACACUGGAACUGAGACACGGUCCAGACUCCUACGGGAGGCAGCAGUAGGGAAUCUUCCGCAAUGGGCGAAAGCUUGACGGAGCAACGCCGCGUGAGUGAUGAAGGUCUUCGGAUCGUAAAACUCUGUUAUUAGGGAAGAACAAAUGUGUAAGUAACUAUGCACGUCUUGACGGUACCUAAUCAGAAAGCCACGGCUAACUACGUG
rnacentral:rRNA from 1 species